AGAUCAUUAUCUUCUCCCCAUAAGCUCAGGUUGUUUCCUAUAGGGGUGACAGUUGCUUCCCUCUCAGGUCUGUAUCGAGAUCCGUCAACACAGUGGAUUGAAUGUUAUUCAAAUGAAGGGGUUCUGUAGCAAGCAAGGUUGGAUUUGUGCUUGCCUGUACUGAAAGUGGUACAGGUAUUCAGAUCUAUCUGCCAUGCAUGGAACAUGGAUCAUAUCAAAGACACCUGUCUUCAUUAGGACUAGUAGAAAAAGAGUUUUCCUAGACCAAUUUGUUUUGGAGAUGCAAGCAGACAAAAACAAGCCAGCAAAAAGAAAAUCUUCCAAAAUUAAAGCCAAAGCAAUUUUUGGAAUCUCCAUAUCUCCUCAGUACCUUGCAGGAAGCACAUCCUGAAGCUUCAGAAAAAUGGAACGCAGCUCCUGGGAUUUCUAACUUUGGCACGAGGACUGAGCUGAUAAUUACAUCAUUUUGUCGCCACAUCCUUAAUAGACCCAGCUUUGCACCAGUCUAACUCUAUACAAUGGUGAAUCAAGUCCAUAAUCUAAGGAGCUGUAUUGUUUUAACAGCAAACCUAAGCUUAGCAUACAAAUAGCUGGCUCAUGUAAGUUAAUAUAUACCAUUAAAGAAGCUGGAUUGU